GACUCUUAUAAUCCAACACCUACAGAAAAGAGACCAUGAACACAGCUGGCAGAGGGAGACUCUCCGCUUACCAUUGGGAUGUGCAGACUUUAUUACCUGAAAAGGACCUGAGACACUGAAAAACAAGCCAAAGAAACCAAAGAAACACCACCAGCAGGCUGCUCAGCACAUAGGCUCUUGCAAAGCAAGUUCAGCACAGCUCCACUCGGAUUCUGCUGUCAAAUGAAAAUCUGGAGAAGUUGAGUAACUUCCAGCUGGGCUUCUGGGGCCCCAGCCUCACUUCCAGAUGCCUCUCCAGAAGGGAGAUACAUAACAUCCCCUUAAGCCUUCCUGCGUGGAUGUCUCAGACACACCAUGGCAACUAAAAAGGCACUAACUUCUACCCACAGUGAAAGUCAAUGUUGAUCAACACAAAUUGACACUGUUCCCUACACUACUCUUGAGAGGGAUCCAAGGACACAGGAUGGUCUUCUGAUGGAACAAUCACAGCUGGCCAGAUCUCUGCUCUUUUUAUGAUCUGUCUUCAUAGCAGGAAUGCGGGAAAAAACAAGAUACAUCUUCCCUUCCUUGUGUCAGCACCUGAGUCUAGGGACAGCUUGGCUGUUUCUGGCAGACCCUGUGGGAGCUUAUGAAUGAAUUCCCAUAAAUUAUGUCUGUGACCAGACAAAGCUAGCAGACUCCCAGGCAUCAGCACAGCGUUAAUUGCAGCAAUUAACAGUAACUCCAUACUCCCUUUGAGCUGGACACCACCAUCAAGGACAUCAUGCUUGUCGCUAAUCCCUAUUGCUCCAUAUGGAAUGAAUUAAAUUCCAGAAGAAUCUGAACUUCUGAAGGAACCCUGCUAAGCCAAUACCCCAACAUUUCAACAGCUCUGGCUCACUCUAGCCUUAGGAUUUAUUUCUAUUCUUUCUUUCCCAAAUGCACCAAGUAUUCAUAUUUUACACGACGGAGCUGCUCCAAACACAGAGACUUACCCUUCAGUCUCUCAAAUCUUUGUAUUAAAAGGCUCAAACUUACGGUAGCAUGCUGAAUGGGUAUCCAGGCAGGUGUUUCGACUGAGCAUUUGUGGGAUGGGCAUCUGCCAUGGCUCUGCUGCAAAUAAGUGAAAACGGCAUUAUACACAACACAAUAUGUGCUGCAAUCCUUAGGUGCAAUAGGCUCCAUUCCAGAUGGAGCACCUAGGCAUUUGCUAGUACACAUUAAACUUCAAAGUCAUUUUUCCAUUGUCAUGUAAGGGAAAUUAGAUCUGCAGUUCACAAGAUCAAAAAGGCCUCAAAAUUUACCCAUUAAUUUUCUUUUAAAAUCCUCAGUUAUGCUGGUGAACACAAGCUUCAUCCACUCUGAACCCUAAGUAAUUGCCAUCUGGCUUUCCUCAGCGCUGGAACACUUCAGAGAACAACACUGGAGCUUUAGGCAGUAGGCUUUUCUCUCCCUAUUUCAUGACAGGCCGCAUUCUUCCUUUAGGUCCUUUUUGCAUCAGUGAUAGCUGCAACCUGAACUGCCUCCAGGGCUAUUUUUCAGCAGAAGCACAUCUAUCCCAAAUUCUCAGAGUGUGUUUCAGAGCUGAGCAGAAUGCACUGCUUGCUCCCCAAAUUGGGCACCAGAAAACACACCAUAGGGAAACAGAGCAAGUACCAAAAACUCUUGCAGUUCUCUGAAACUUUGCAGGACCAAAAGAGUGAAGGGUUAAUUUAAAGUCUAACGUUCCACAUGGCAGCGCAAGAUGCUACCAUCAGGCCUUCAGGCUGAUCUUCCUGUAAUUUCCCGUUCAUUUGCAGUGAUUCAAUUACAUUUUACUGAAGAUUUGGAGCCAAUCAGAACUAAUCACAUAGCAGCUUGGGUCAGAGUCCCCGAAGAAAAGUUCAGAAUAAAUUUUGGUGUCUGCCACCAUUACUCUCAGCAUUUCACAUAAGACUCAAACUAUUACUUUGCUGCUUGGAAUGGAGGACUUUUGUAAUUAUGUGUGUUCCUGAAGCUGGAUACAAUGAAGAAGAGGCUUUUAUUUUCAUUUAAACCAGGAAUAUUGUGAGCAACUACAAUACACCUUUCUUUUCCCCAUGCCAAGAGCAAAGGAGAGCGAUCUCUAUGGAUACUAUAGAUCAGGUUUCACGCUAUUUUCAAAUUUUGAGUCUGAUGUGAGAACAUUGACUAAUGUAGCCUAUUAGUUCUUUGUUCUUUACCUUUACAAAGCAGACAUUCAUAAAGCUUUGCAAUACUAAACACCUUUAUAAGGAAAAAAAUGUGUAUGCCAGUUCCAGUGUUAUAGUCCCCAGAAUUUCCCCAUCUUAAAAAUUGACGGUUACUGACCAUCAGUAGUAUUAUUAUUAUAUUUUCACACAAGUAUCUUUAAGGAUUAUUCAAAAAGAUAUAGCUAGUAAGCAAGAAUCAUUGCACCUUUAGAUGAAAGUAUUGUUUAAAUCGUUUUGAAAAAGUCACCGGUAUCACAACAAUAUCCUGUGGAUGUGUGUUAUCUCUUGUAAGGACAGGAUGAAUGCAACAGCAAACUAAGCAAUACUAUCAAACUAAUAAAACUAUAAAUAAAUUUUGAUCAAAACCCUGCAUGAAUUAUUGUCAAUGCUUUCUUUAACAAGUUUAAUCUGUAGUCCAAACCAAGAUAAAGGUAAGAAAAUUAAUAAUUUGCUUUGGGCAAGAAACAUUUUUAAGAAAUAUUUUUUUUUUCUGAUUGAAAAGCCUGAUCUUAGAAAAUCACAUAUCCAUGUUUGUGAGGAGACUCCUCACGAAGGCAGAAAUUCUUAAAGAAGAUACAUCCGCAGAAUAAAGGCUCCAGAUCUCAGAGCAGGAGAGGCUAAUGUUCUGCUAAUCUUCUUGACUCUGAAAUUCAUAACAAAAAUUGUCCUGAGGCCCAGAAUCGUGAGACACAUGCUGCUUAUUUAAAGAUUAGAGAGACACUGGUAACUCUGGGAAUUACUGGAAGGCAGCAGUUCUCCAGAGAUCCUGCUGUUCCAACACAAGGGCUAUGCCGAGGGUACAGCUGGGCUAUGGAGUGGCUAUGGAGUGGCCCACAGAGUUUGGCCUUUCACAGCUGGAUAUCUGAAUUACUGCAUUGAUAUCAUGAUAUUGCACUGGAAUUUUCUAAGAAAUGCAUGCAGCUCAAGGGCUAGGACUGAACACUCUUGCUAUAGCUUUUUGCUCUCUGAAAAUCACAUGUGGUUUACCAGUCACUAUUUUUAGUACUUUUGUUUAAAAAGCAAUGCUUUUUACAGCUUUCAUAUCUUACAUCUUCUACCAGUUGAAACAGUUCUAGGAUGUAAAGUUAUAUCAACUGCUAAUAAUGCUCUUCUGCAUUAAAAUGCUCGUUUUUUUUUCAACAGCCAAAAGCUCUGUGUCACACUUACAGAAACGAACUAAGAAACAAUUCAUCCCAAAAGGUCAACAUUGCAUGAAAGCAUAGGAAAUAUGAUAAAGCAUAGGAGUAAAUAUGGGGGGGGGGGGGGGUUUAUUUGCAAGUUGCAGGAGGAAUUACCUUCAUUGGAUUAUUACUGCUAGUAUUUUCAUUGACUUAGUCAUUUGGUGAGCACAAGGACUACAAACCCUGGUCCGCCACAACACUAAAAAGUUAAAAUCUGUAAACUGAUGAAAAUCCAUCAUGUUUAAUUAUCUUUCUUUAGACAGUCUUCAAGGCAGGACAGAACUAUGGUUUGCUUUCUAAAUUUACUGAUAACUGUAUGCAAAAAUAAUAUGUCUUGCUGUUUGGAAGAAUAUAUACAAAUAAACCAGUUCUCUGUCUGAAAUGGAAAAA